rnacentral:misc_RNA from 1 species
CGGUAGCAUCGAAACAACGUGGUACAAAAAUUUCAUUUUCUUUCACAUCAAAAUCAGCUGUGAACAUCAGUAUGGCCGCUCCAUUAUCUAAAAAAUAAAAUUGUUUUUGUAAAAUCAUACAAAAAAAACAGUAAAGUGCAGUUUUCGUACUUACACCGUCUAAUUGUACAUUUGCGAAUAGUGUUGAUGUUGACUAAAAGUGUUGCGUCAUGACAGAGACCUCUCACUGACAAACAAAUACAAUAAAAAUUGCGACUCGCUUAUUACGGCGACUUAUUGUAAUUUCUAUUUGGCUCGUGUAACGUUUCUGUCGUUUGGUUGAGGGCUGAUGUUAUUACUGAAUCGUCGUCGAAGUUUAUAUAAUGAGUAGUGUUAGAUUGAGUUUCGUAUCCGUGGGAAGGAUAGCAGUGAGAAGAAAUUCACAAAUAUCAGGAGUACAACAAUGUCGUACACUCCGACGGUCGUGCCCUCGAGGGUUCAGCACAUGCUCAGUGAUGUGCAAGAGCCCCACUGAACAGCCGCCCGGCCCGCCGCAUCCACACCCGCCUAAAGAUGCCGCUGGUGCUGCAGGCACUACAUCAGGUGGCAAGAAGUCAGGGUCCGGCAGUGGGGUCCUCACGUGCCCCAAGUGCGGGGACCCGUGCACCCACGUGGAAACCUUCGUCAGCUCCACGCGAUUCGUCAAGUGCGAUAAAUGCCACCACUUCUUCGUGGUGCUUAGCGAAGUGGACACCAAGAAGAGCAUCAAGGAUAAUGCGGAUAAUAAGUCUGGAUUCUACAGAAAACCUCCGCCACCUCCGAAGAAGAUCUUCGAAUACUUGAACAAGCACGUGGUGGGUCAGGAAUACGCUAAGAAGGUGCUGUCGGUGGCAGUGUACAACCACUACAAGAGGAUCUACAACAAUGUCACCAGCGGCACGCCCACAGAUGCACACCAUCCUUUACAUCACACACACAGAGAUCUCCUUCACCUAAGUCACGGCAACAACAGUGGCGGCGCCGAGGUGCUUGAGCGACAGCAUCACGAGCUGAGGCUCGAUAAGAGCAAUGUGCUGCUGCUUGGUCCCACUGGAUGCGGUAAAACUCUCCUAGCGCAAACGAUAGCGCAGUGCCUGGACGUGCCGUUCGCGAUCUGCGACUGCACCACGCUCACGCAGGCCGGCUACGUCGGCGAGGAUAUCGAGAGCGUCAUCGCUAAACUGCUGCAGGAUGCUAACUUUAACGUUGAGCGAGCACAGACAGGCAUCGUGUUCCUAGACGAGGUGGACAAAAUCGGCGCCGUGCCCGGCAUACACCAGCUCAGAGAUGUCGGAGGCGAGGGAGUCCAACAAGGCAUGCUGAAGAUGCUGGAAGGCGCUGUAGUGUCGGUCCCCGAGCGCAACUCGCGCAAGCUGCGCGGCGACGCCGUGCAAGUCGACACCACCAAUAUAUUGUUCGUUGCCAGCGGCGCUUAUAACGGUCUCGACAGACUAGUGCAGCGUCGCAACAACGAGAAGUACCUCGGGUUCGGCGCGUGGGACCCGCGCUCCGGGCGCCGCGCGGCGCUGGCGGCGGCGGCCAGUGACGCCUCGCCGCUCGACUCCGCCCGCGCAGAGAACGACGAGCGCGACGCCUGGCUGCGCAAGGUGCAGGCCCGCGACCUCAUCGACUUCGGGAUGAUACCCGAGUUCGUGGGCAGAUUCCCCGUGCUAGUACCUUUCCAUAGUCUGAACCAAGAUCUGCUUGUACGGAUACUAACGGAACCUAAAAACGCUAUGGUAUCCCAGUACAAGCUGCUGUUCGCGAUGGACAAGUGCGAGCUGACGUUCAGCACGGAGGCGCUGGCCGCCGUCGCCGCCAUGGCCAUGGAGCGCAAGACCGGCGCCCGCGGCCUCAGGGCUAUCAUGGAAAACCUGCUCCUAGAAGUGAUGUUCGAGAUCCCCGGGUCGGACAUCUCGUCGGUGCACAUCCACGAGGGCUGCGUGUCUCGCGCGGAGCCGCCGCAGCUGUCGCGGCGCCGCGAGCAGCCCGACGCCCGCCCCGCGCCGCACGACCUCGACGACUGGCCCUCGGUGCGCCUGCACAACUGUACGUAGUGUAGCCGCCGCCGAGACAUCCGCGACUGUCGCCUGCACAACUGUACGUAGUGUAGCCGCCGCCGAGACAUCCGCGACUGUCGCCUGCACAACUAGACUCAAAGCGUCAGUCUCGCAACCAUCUGUCACUCAUUCGUGCGUGCUGUGAGCGGAAACAUGUAUGGUGGACACAACCCAACAAUCUGCCCACGAUUCGACAGUAACGACCAACGCCCUCUACCUUCCCAACCGAGGUAACACUCGUUACUGACAUAAAAAAACCCCCAAGAGGGAUAUAAGUGUUAAAAAAAUACAAAAUAGAAAAAAAAAACAUUGUUUUCGGUUUUUUUUUUUGUGAAAUUGUGCUUCAUUGUGACGGCCGGGAGUCCUGUUUGUAAUAGUAUUCCUAACAUCAUUCCUGUAUGAGUUCGGUACCUAUUUUACGGAAAACACGGUUUUCUUGUGUUAAAACCACCCGUAAAGUUCGUACUUAUUAGGUUUGAAUGUAGUUGAUAUCUCGAUGUUACACACAAAUGUAGUUGUAAAUAAAUAGAUAUAUUAGAAAAGCAUUUGAAUUCAGCCAAGUUCAAUUGUAUGUCUGCUUAAAACGAUAGGUAAUGUUAGUUAAUUAGGACUCCUGAGUAGACAUGUUUCCAACUAGCAUUUCAUGAAAAAUUCAGUUUUGUUCAAAGUUUUCGACGAUUUACGUAAUAGUCUUUAUACUCUAAAUUCAAAAUCAUGGAUUAAUCAUCCUGGUAUUUGUAGACUUCGGACCGUAAGGUCUUAUUAUCAGUUCCUUACGUUAGUUUAUGUUGGAAAACAUUAACAUGUUGUAUCGGCCACCAUACAACAUACUCUUGUGAUGUAAAUUACUGUAAAUAGUAAUAAAUAAUAAUGAUAAAUAGAAAAAAAACUGUUAUUAUUAAGGUUUAUUAAAAAUAAAUAGGGUUCACUAUUGUACAUCCCAGAUAAGUUGUAAGUACGAAAAGUCACAGCAAAUGUUGUUAGUUGAAAAAUAGAUUCUUUUUAUUUCGGCCUGCAAUACUGAGAAGGAAUGACGUUUUGACAUUUUGUUAAUUGUUAUACAUAAUUAUUUUUUUAUUUAUAAAUGGAUCGUUGUGGUGUGAUUAUAAUAAGUGUGAAUAUUUUUUUGUUAAACAACCUCCAAAAAUAUGUGUCUAAUAUAAUUCUGGACUUGUGAUAGGAUAAAUUUUAUGGCAUGUUGAUAUAAUCACAUUGCAACUCGAGUAAAAUAGUAUAAGCCUAUUUUCAAUUUAAAAUAUAAAGAAAACCAAAUA